rnacentral:rRNA from 1 species
GGCCUGGCUGGGCGGUCUUGCCGAAAGGUAAGCACUGCUCUGGUCGGGCCUUUCCUUCUGGGGAACCUGCGUGCGCUUAACUGAGUGCGCAGGGGAUCCAGGACUUUUACUUUGAAAAAAUUAGAGUGUUUAAAGCAGGCCUACGCUUGAAUACAUUAGCAUGGAAUAAUAGAAUAGGGCUCCGGUUCUAUUUUGUUGGUUUUCAGCUACCGAAGCA